rnacentral:rRNA from 1 species
UACAGGGGGGGCAAGCGUUGUUCGGAAUUACUGGGCGUAAAGGGUCAGUAGGCGGCCAACUAAGUCCGACGUGAAAUCCCAAAGCUUAACCUUGGAACUGCGUCGGAUACUGGAUGGCUUGAAUUCGGGAGAGGGAUGCAGAAUUCCAGGUGUAGCGGUGAAAUGCGUAGAUAUCUGGAGGAAUACCGGUGGCGAAGGCGGCAUCCUGGACCGACAUUGACGCUGAACGACGAAAGCUAGGGGAGCAAACGGG